rnacentral:rRNA from 1 species
UACGUAGGGGGCGAGCGUUGUCCGGAGUUACUGGGCGUAAAGGGCAUGCAGGCGGUCAGGCGGGGUUUGUGUGACAGCGGAUGGCUUAACUGUCCGAGGAUACGAGAUACGGCGUGACUUGAGAGCGCGAGAGGGACACGGAAUUCCGGGUGGAGUGGUGAAAUGCGUAGAGAUCCGGAGGAACACCGAAGGCGAAGGCAGUGUCCUGGCGCGUAUCUGACGCUGAGGUGCGAAAGCCAGGGGAGCGAACGGG